AAAGGAGCCUGACAAAACAGAGUUGAGAAACUGCCCCGUCACACCCCGUGUGCGGAGCGACAUCCCCACCCCGCACAGAUAAAGUGCCGAGCGCUCCCGGUGCUGCCCAGCCCCUGCCCCAGCGCCAGGAGCGCCUUCCCGGCUGAAUCCUCCCAUCGGGGAGCGAAAUCCCCCCCGACGAGGAGGAGGAGAACGGCUCUGCACAGCCACGGAUCUCAGAGCAGGGGUGGGCACACUGAGACCCCUGACCCCACAGCUCCAGCCCCAGGGUUGGGUGACACAAUCAGCCCCGGGACCUCCAGCACCUUCCAACCAUUCCAAGUUUAGGACACGGCUCUCCAGACCUGCUCUGAGGACCAGCCCCGGCACCAGCACCAUGGCGUGGGCACCCCCAGCCCUGGCAGCCGUCACCCUCUGCCUCUGUGUCUCCACGGACCUGCUGAGAGCCACAGCGGUGAGUCCCUGCCAGCUCUGCCAGCUCCCACCGUGCCAGGGCUUUCCCAAAACUCCACAGCUGGAGCCGUCACUGUCCCCCCAUCCCUCAGCUCCUGGGAGGCACAGCCAU